UCAAAGAAUUUUGCAAGUGUAAUCACUGGUAAAUGAAAUAAUCAUGCAUAUUCGGAGGUCCAGGUAUUGUUGACCAGUACUUGCCUGGGUCUAGUUAUGUGCUACAGAAACUGUUGAAUGUUUUGGGAUGAGAAUCUAUUGAGCAUUCCUGAAAUAUGUUACUGACAAAAGUAAUUAAGAUACCCUUUAAAUCAAAGAAUAUUGCAAGUGUAAUCACUGGUAAAUGAAAUAAUCAUGCAUAUUCGGAGGUCCAGGUAUUGUUGACCAGUACUUGCCUGGGUCUAGUUAUGUGCUACAGAAACUGUUAAAUGUUUUGGGAUGAGAAUCUAUUGAGCAUUCCUGAAAUAUGUUACUGACAAAAGUAAUUAAGAUACCCUUUAAAUCAAAGAAUAUUGCAAGUGUAAUCACUGGUAAAUGAAAUAAUCAUGCAUAUUCGGAGGUCCAGGUAUUGUUGACCAGUACUUGCCUGGGUCUAGUUAUGUGCUACAGAAACUGUUGAAUGUUUUGGGAUGAGAAUCUAUUGAGCAUUCCUGAAAUAUGUUACUGACAAAAGUAAUUAUAAGAUACCCUUUAAAUCAAAGAAUAUUGCAAGUGUAAUCACUGGUAAAUGAAAUAAUCAUGCAUAUUCGGAGGUCCAGGUAUUGUUGACCAGUACUUGCCUGGGUCUAGUUAUGUGCUACA